GUGACCAUAGAAAUGCUUUCUUGGUAUCAAAGGGAUCUGCUUCUCUUUGCAGUUCCCCUCCUCAGAGGCCGGGCUGGGAACAGCGGGGUUUGGCACGGUCCUCUCAUCCUGCUUUUCUUCUUCAGUAACUACUUUGGCUGACUUCUUUCCAACUCCUUUCUCGAAAUCCCCACCAGUCCUGACGCAGACCCUCCGUGGCUGGUGGAUGCCAAGUAUCAUUUGGAGAUGGCUGGGGAUGUGCAGAUUUCUCACUUGAGCUGCUUAUGCAGGGUCUGCACCGUCCUGACAGCAAUCGAAGGACUUGGCCACCACUGCGGAGCUCCAGUCUGGUGCUGGCGUGAAUGCUCAGCACCCAGACGAGCUGCUUUCAUCCUGGAAACCCUUCCUGAGCCCCUGGGAAGCAUCUGGCACUGUUCUAGCUGCGGAGGAUGCAGCAGUGAAGACGUCCAAAGUCCCUGCCCUUGAGCUGUAAGUGGGGCAGGGAGGGGGGCAGCCCGUGCCAGAGAGUCACAUGUGAAGAGCACUGCUUCUGGCCUCAGAGUGUGCUCCAGACAGCAGCAGGGCACCAUCCUGGAACCCACUGGACAGGCAAGCUCUCACCCCGCCCACCCCAGCCUGGUGAAAUCCCAGUGUGCGGGCGAUUUCUAUUUCUAUUUCAAUGGAGUCUGGUAAGCAGCAGGACUGGAGUUUUUGACCAAGUGCAGAGUAAAGCUCCGUCCCUCAGUCUGAGCUUAUCAAUCCAGGGUUAUUCCCCUUUCUUGGAGAUGAGAAGGGGGUUGGGGUAGACACACAGCACUUCCUUCCCUGGGAAAGGUAUAUAUUUGAGCAGAAUUAUU
rnacentral:lncRNA from 1 species